AGCCUUGCUUGAGAAUGCAGUAAACACUUAGUAAUAGAAAGUAGAAGGAAAAUUGUAACAACAUGAUUCUAAUUGUGAUAGAAUCCUAAAUAACUCCAAUUAAAUCUUAACAACAUUAAUCAAGUAGUAAUCAAAUACAAAGAAUCUUUAAAGAAAUUACAAAAGAAGCAUGAAGAAAUCCUAAAGAAAUUCAAAGAAAGUAUUAAAAUAAUAUUUUUAAUAUAUUUUAAAUAAAUCUUAAUUAAAUCUUAAUUUAAUCCUUGAUAAAAUUCUAAUAACUCUUUAUUAAAUCCUAAAUCAAAUCCUAACUAAAUCCUAAAUAAUCUUAAAUCCUAAAAAAAUCUAAAUCCUAACCAAUCUCCAAAUCCUAAAUCAAAUCUUAAUCAAAUUAACUUAAUCUUAAGAUAGUUUAGAACCUCAAUAUCUAUUGAUUUUA
rnacentral:lncRNA from 1 species